rnacentral:tRNA from 1 species
GCGGGCGUGGUGAAAUUGGUAAACACAUCAGACUUAAAAUCUGACGGCGGAAACGCCCUGCCGGUUCAAGUCCGGCCGCCCGCA